rnacentral:misc_RNA from 1 species
UCCUUCAAAAGAUGAUAGACAAGAAUGCGCUUCUGCAUAAUUAUUCCAUUUGCCAACAGAUUUUGGGCGUUGUGGCACCACUGAUUCAUUUUUUUCAUCAAUUGAUGUGCACAGAGUUGUCUUCUGGUGCAAAUGGUUGGGACUGGAACAUUGACUAUUUUGAAUGAAGUUAGCACUUUCUGAGGUAGAUACAUGGCAUAUUGAGGUAGUAGUUGG